UCUCUGGUAGUAUAUCGGAUAGUACACCCGCCUGUCACAGCUGCAGCCUGUGCGCGGGAAAGCGGGGUUCGAUUCCCCGCCAGAGAG